rnacentral:lncRNA from 1 species
GCCGGGCGAGGGCGCGGGCGGAGGUCGAAUUCGCGGACCGCGAGGCCGCGGGCGCGGGAGGGCCGCCUAGUCGGGCGCGAGGAAUGGAGGGCACGGCUGCGGCCGUCUGCGAGGUGAUGCAGAUUUUGAGAUAUUUAAUAAUUCACUGGAAAUGUGAAACAGCAGGAGUAUCAAAGGGAACAUUGCUAGAAGGACAGCUAAUGAUUUCCAUAGAAGCAUUAAAUUC